rnacentral:rRNA from 1 species
GGGCCCGCACAAGCGGUGGAGCAUGUGGUUUAAUUCGAAGCAACGCGAAGAACCUUACCAGGUCUUGACAUCCCACUGACCGGCUUAGAGAUAGGCUUUUCCCUUCGGGGACAGUGGUGACAGGUGGUGCAUGGUUGUCGUCAGCUCGUGUCGUGAGAUGUUGGGUUAAGUCCCGCAACGAGCGCAACCCUUGAUCUUAGUUGCCAGCAUUCAGUUGGGCACUCUAAGGUGACUGCCGGUGAUAAACCGGAGGAAGGUGGGGAUGACGUCAAAUCAUCAUGCCCCUUAUGACCUGGGCUACACACGUGCUACAAUGGAUGGUACAAAGAGCUGCAAACUCGCGAGGGUAAGCGAAUCUCAUAAAGCCAUUCUCAGUUCGGAUUGUAGGCUGCAACUCGCCUACAUGAAGCCGGAAUCGCUAGUAAUCGUAGAUCAGCAUGCUACGGUGAAUACGUUCCCGGGCCUUGUACACACCGCCCGUCACACCACGAAAGUUUGUAACACCCAAAGUCGGUGAGGUAACCGCAAGGAGCCAGCCGCUCUAAGGUGGGAUAGAUGAUUGGGGUGA